GCUCCAGUGGCCUAGUGGUUAGAGCGUCCGCCUCGGAUGCGGGAGGUCGUAGGUACCCGGCUAAGUCAUACCAAAAACU